UCACUAUUCAAGCCCAGCUUGCUGUUGGACCUUUCGUCGUCAAAAGACAGGUCUCAAAGAUAAUGACGGUGUCUUUUAGACCCUUAGAUACAACGAGCUUUUAACUAGCACGUAUCUACAGUGGACUUGCAGACCCGGUCUUUUUUUAACCAAUUUCUAAGGUUGACCUCGGAUCAGGUAGGAAUACCCGCUGAACUUAA
rnacentral:misc_RNA from 1 species